AUGUGGCGCUAUUGUGAUUUAAGUAAUGAUUGCACCUGUAUUUUCCAUAUUUUUACAGUGUCAAACUUCCUUGAUGGUUGCCCUGACGCGCAGCCGUCAGAAUUUCAUUUCCUUCUUACUCUCAUAAUCAUUAAGGUGCCAUGUAGAGCCCGCCUUAAGGACUUUUUACUGAUAAUCAUGAUACUACUUGUUUCUUUUAAUGGUGACCAAAAAAAAAAGUCAUGAUUUAAACAUACACACAAACAGGCAGGUUAAGCAUCAUGGACACUUAUAUAACAAUGUCAAGUAUUGGUCAACUCUAAAUCAUUUCAAAAACAAUUUUGCAGAAGGCUUUGGAUCUCCAGUGCAACUUCGAUCAUGCAAGCGGAUAACUUGAUUUUAUUGGGGAACCAUAUGCGCCCCGUUUCAAGAGCAAAUUCUGACAGACCCAAAUUCUCUGUCGUUGGUUGCCAAAUUUUCUAUAAGUUCGUUAUUUUAUGCACCAAUAAACGAAUGUUGGUAAAAAAGAAUCAAUGGUACUUUUUCUUUCCUUUCGUGGAAUUCCAUGACUUUAAUAUCAUUAGCGUGCUCGGCGAUUAGCGAUUACUCGGUCAUUUAAACCUACGGAAAAGGAUCGAUAGACACGGCGAUCGCAUCGAACACCUAAAUAAUCGAUUCCUCACCACAGCUUCAAAUGAGUAGAUAUCGAUAAUCGAACCCUUACGCCUCGCCAUUAAGUAGUAUCGUUGUAAAAGCAGAGUUGCAGGGUUUAACAAGGAAAAUGAAAUCAAAACUUUUAUAUAAAUAGCUCACGAUUACUAAUCACAAUAACUGUUAUUAUUAUCAUUACCUACUCGUAGCAAGUGCACUGAAAUUAGAUUCACUAGCAUUUGUUCGGUUUAACUAUUUAGAAUUAGUACACACAAAAAAUAUCUAUAUUACAUGUCGAAAAAAAAACUACAUUCAGAAUGUGAUGCGCAAACUUUAAAAAUCUACCUUGAAACCGAAAAAUCAGUUAAUUUUUGCAUACGAAAAUUCUUAAUUACCUAAUAAAUUAAGUGAAAGUUGCAGGUUGGCAACUCCGUCAAGGUUUUUGUCAACUUAAAAACAAAACAAGGGUUCGCGGCAAAGUGCGCGAUGACGAAAUCAAUAUCCAUCCGUUUCGGAUCAUUAAG
rnacentral:lncRNA from 1 species